GGCGGCGUGCUUAACACAUGCAAGUCGAACGAUUAACCAUUUCGGGUUGGAUUAGUGGCGAACGGGUGAGUAACACGUGGGCAAUCUGCCCUUCACUCUGGGACAAGCCCUGGAAACGGGGUCUAAUACCGGAUAUCACUCCUGCAGGCAUCUGCUGGAGUUGAAAGCUCCGGCGGUGAAGGAUGAGCCCGCGGCCUAUCAGCUUGUUGGUGAGGUAAUGGCUCACCAAGGCGACGACGGGUAGCCGGCCUGAGAGGGCGACCGGCCACACUGGGACUGAGACACGGCCCAGACUCCUACGGGAGGCAGCAGUGGGGAAUAUUGCACAAUGGGCGAAAGCCUGAUGCAGCGACGCCGCGUGAGGGAUGACGGCCUUCGGGUUGUAAACCUCUUUCAGCAGGGAAGAAGCGAAAGUGACGGUACCUGCAGAAGAAGCGCCGGCUAACUACGUGCCAGCAGCCGCGGUAAUACGUAGGGCGCAAGCGUUGUCCGGAAUUAUUGGGCGUAAAGAGCUCGUAGGCGGCUUGUCACGUCGGGUGUGAAAGCCCGGGGCUUAACCCCGGGUCUGCAUUCGAUACGGGCUAGCUAGAGUGUGGUAGGGGAGAUCGGAAUUCCUGGUGUAGCGGUGAAAUGCGCAGAUAUCAGGAGGAACACCGGUGGCGAAGGCGGAUCUCUGGGCCAUUACUGACGCUGAGGAGCGAAAGCGUGGGGAGCGAACAGGAUUAGAUACCCUGGUAGUCCACGCCGUAAACGGUGGGAACUAGGUGUUGGCGACAUUCCACGUCGUCGGUGCCGCAGCUAACGCAUUAAGUUCCCCGCCUGGGGAGUACGGCCGC
rnacentral:rRNA from 1 species